CGCCGUGGCGCACAUGCGCCGGCCGAGGCACGACGGGCAGAAUCCA
rnacentral:misc_RNA from 1 species